rnacentral:rRNA from 1 species
UAUCANUAAGCGGAGCACAAGGGUCCCUGCCUUGCCCUGAAGCUGGAACACUAGAGAGGAACGCUUCCUUUAAUUNGGCCCCCCACUAUGUUCCUUGGAACAGGANGUCAUAAACAGGUGAGAAUCCCGUGCGAUGGGGUGUCCAUUCUUUGGAAGUUUCCUUCGACGAGUCGAGUUGUUUGGGAAUGCAGCUCUAAGUGGGUGGUAAAUUCCAUCUAAAGCUAAAUAUUGGCGAGAGACCGAUAGCGAACAAGUACAGUGAUGGAAAGAUGAAAAGAACUUUGAAAAGAGAGUGAAAAAGUACGUGAAAUUGUUGAAAGGGAAGGGUAUUUGAUCAGACUUGGUAUUAGAAUAUGGUAGCUCUCGGGUUGUCCUCUAUUCUUUUACUGGGCCACCAUCGGUUCGGAUGGCAAGAUAAUUGCGUUUGAAUGUAGCUCCUUUGGAGUGUUAUAGCUUCCGUAGAUAUUGCCUGUCUGGACCGGAGGACUGCGUCUUUUGACCUAUGAUGCUGGCGUANUGAUUAAAUACC